GCAAGAAACAGCAGCUCUAACACAGCCGUGAAUGAAUGUCCUGAAGAAUAAGCACCGGCUAACUACGUGCCAGCAGCCGCGGUAAUACGUAGGGUGCAAGCGUUAAUCGGAAUUACUGGGCGUAAAGCGUGCGCAGGCGGUUAUACAAGACAGGCGUGAAAUCCCCGGGCUUAACCUGGGAAUUGCGUCUGUGACUGUAUAGCUAGAGUGUGUCAGAGGGGGGUAGAAUUCCACGUGUAGCAGUGAAAUGCGUAGAUAUGUGGAGGAAUACCAAUGGCGAAGGCAGCCCCCUGGGAUAACACUGACGCUCAUGCACGAAAGCGUGGGGAGCAAACAGGAUUAGAUACCCUGAUAGUACACGCCCUAAACGAUGCUGACUAGUUGUUCGGGAUUUACAUCCUGAGUAACGUAGCUAACGCGUGAAGUCAGACGACUGGGGAGUACGGACGGAAGAUUACAACUCACAGGAAUUGACGGGGACCC
rnacentral:rRNA from 1 species